rnacentral:sRNA from 1 species
AAGGUUCAUAGGUUUAAACUGACACCGAUUAGCUUAGAGAUGUUCAUUCUCUUCAAAGAUCUUGGUGUUCAUAGCAGAUUUUCUCUCUGAAUAUUUAAACUAAUAUGUCCAAGAGUCUACCAUUGCUGUAUACUACAGGAACCUAUUAUGAAGUUGGCUACAGUAUUGGAUCAACAUUUGCUGAGAGAAUCAACAGGUUUUGGAGUGAAUCUGAAAAUCUAAUUAGAUGUGAGCUUCCAUUUUAUGAGACCUCAAGAGGACAAGAGUACUUCAACACUGCUUUGAAAGUUUGUGAAAUGAAUU